rnacentral:rRNA from 1 species
GGCCAAGUUUUUAAGGGCGCACGGUGGAUGCCUUGGCACCAGGAACCGAUGAAGGACGUGGGAGGCCACGAUAGGCCCCGGGGAGUCGUCAACCAGGCUUUGAUCCGGGGGUGUCCGAAUGGGGAAACCCGGCAGUCGUCAUGGGCUGUCACCCGCUGCUGAACUCAUAGGCAGUGUGGAGGGAACGCGGGGAAGUGAAACAUCUCAGUACCCGCAGGAAGAGAAAACAACCGUGAUUCCGGGAGUAGUGGCGAGCGAAACCGGAUGAGGCCAAACCGUAUACGUGUGAGACCCGGCAGGGGUUGCGUGUGCGGGGUUGUGGGAUCUCUCUUGAUCAGUCUGCCGGCUGGUCGACGAGUCAGAAACCGUUGAUGUAGGCGAAGGACAUGCGAAAGGUCCGGCGUAGAGGGUAAGACCCCCGUAGUCGAAACAUUAGCGGCUCGUUUGAGAGACACCCAAGUAGCACGGGGCCCGAGAAAUCCCGUGUGAAUCUGGCGGGACCACCCGCUAAGCCUAAAUAUUCCCUGGUGACCGAUAGCGGAUAGUACCGUGAGGGAAUGGUGAAAAGUACCGCGGGAGCGGAGUGAAAUAGUACCUGAAACCGUGUGCCUACAAGCCGUGGGAGCGUCGGACAAGCACUUGUGCUUGUCUCGUGACUGCGUGCCUUUUGAAGAAUGAGCCUGCGAGUUUGCGGUGUGUUGCGAGGUUAACCCGGGUGGGGAAGCCGUAGCGAAAGCGAGUCCGAACAGGGCGCUGUAGUAGCACGCUCAAGACCCGAAGCGGAGUGAUCUAGCCAUGGGCAGGUUGAAGCGGAGGUAAGACUUCGUGGAGGACCGAACCCACCAGGGUUGAAAACCUGGGGGAUGACCUGUGGUUAGGGGUGAAAGGCCAAUCAAACUCCGUGAUAGCUGGUUCUCCCCGAAAUGCAUUUAGGUGCAGCGUCGUGUGUUUCUUGCCGGAGGUAGAGCACUGGAUAGGCGAUGGGCCCUACCGGGUUACUGACCUUAGCCAAACUCCGAAUGCCGGUAAGUGAGAGCGCGGCAGUGAGACUGUGGGGGAUAAGCUCCAUGGUCGAGAGGGAAACAGCCCAGAGCAUCGACUAAGGCCCCUAAGCGUACGCUAAGUGGGAAAGGAUGUGGAGUCGCACAGACAACCAGGAGGUUGGCUUAGAAGCAGCCACCCUUGAAAGAGUGCGUAAUAGCUCACUGGUCUAGUGAUUCCGCGCCGACAAUGUAGCGGGGCUCAAGCGUACCGCCGAAGUCGUGUCAUU